AAGUCGUAACAAGGUCUCCGUAGGUGAACCUGCGGAGGGAUCAUUAACACGUGUAAAAACGUAUUUUAUACCCUUACCUAACAACCAAUACCGUGAACUAUGUUAUAUAAACUAUUUUUUUGUUUUUUUAAACCCUUUUCCAACUUUAUUAUUUUUUUGAAACUCGUUUUUUUUAUUCUUUUUUGUUCGCAAGAGAGAAUAGAGAAAUGCAAUUAUAUAAAAAAAUACAACAGCACAACUCUUAGCAACGGAUAUCUUGGUUCUC
rnacentral:misc_RNA from 1 species